GCCUGGUACUCAUUGGCUUUCACACGAUGCCUUUGCCAAUAAUGGUCCAAUGAGCAGAGGUCCGGAAAUUACUCAACCUGAAUUACCCAACUCUUGACGAGAACCAUUUUAGCUUCAGCCAGUUCUGUUCACAUUCACCGUGAACUCUCUGCAAACAUGUUACCAGGAGCUCUGGGUUUACUCUUCACAACUGCAGCUCUUCUAACUGGACUUUGUCGUGGCGAUUCAGUCUCACAAACACCGGCUGCAAUCAAACUGAAUGAGGGGGACGAUGUGCUGUUGUUCUGUAAUUACACUACAACAAACAGCAAUCCUGACCUGUACUGGUACCGUCAACCUUCCAACGGAUCCGUGCAGUUUCUGCUGCAGAAAAACCAAUAUAGCGAGAAAACGGGGAGUUUUCCACUAGGCCGGCUUUCCUGGAAUUUUGAUCCUGUGAACCGCACUAUCAAGCUGAAUGUGUUGAACAUAGAACUAACAGACUCCGCAGUGUAUUACUGCGCACUGCGUCCCACAGAGAAUGAGAACUGGGCUGACCCUGUACAAAAACU